UUGAGGCCGGCCGCUUGGUGGCGCCUGUGGCCGCAGGGAUUUGACUGGGCCUUCUCUAGCUUUCCCCGGUUUGCUGCACUUGACGCUGCAGGGCGGGCGGGGUAAAGAAGGGAGCGAGCCCUUCUCAAGCUUGGAAAGUUUCCAGACUGCUGGGCCAGCCUCCUCCCCAGAGGGAAACUGAGGUCCGAUUGAGGUUUCUCCAAGACCGCCCACUCCUGCUCCUGUCCCCAAACCCCUUUCUGCCUAGGGUUCCUGGAAGCCAAGGAAACAGAACGAACUGUUCCCUGGGUGGGCGAGCCACUGCAGAGUACAAAGCUUUCAGGCCGCCUGCCUCAUUAGCACUAAUGGCUGCUCCCUUCCGCCCUGUGUCGUCAGGACUGUCUAUGCCUGGUCUCAUCAGCACAAGGCUGGGUAACAGCUGAAGAAGUCCCAGGAGUCCUCCCAUGUCCUCUCAGCAACCCAGGCUGGAGCCUACUCCUUGGUGUUGGCAAAGGAAACCGUCUUUGAAGGGCAACUGUUUGAAAAUGCUGCAGAAACAUGAGAAAUGUUCAUGAAGUGACCCUGUGGAGGCUUCCGGUCACAGGAUCAUGUGAGCGCCACGAUCACCCCAGGGGUGGAGCAGAUGCUAAGUGUUCACCACACCCAAUUCUCUUCCUGGACACACAGGAAGAUGACAUUUCCAGUGACAUGCCCCACCUCUAGGCCCUAGUCUUUUUUUUAUUUAAAGGUCUGAGUCUUGUUCUGUCACCCAGGCUGGAGUGCAGUGCUGUGAUCAUGACUCACUGCAGCCUCAACCUCCUGUGCUCAAACAAUCCUCCCACCUCAGCCUCCCUAAUAGCUGAUGUCAUAUAGGCAUGAGCCAGUGUGCCUGGCUCAGGCCCUACCCUUAAAAGCAUCCCACCUGAUUCACCAGCCCCCUUCUCUCUCUCAGUAAACUUGGAAACCACGCAUUCCAGAUGGUAUAAUUUACAGCAUGAUGGAAAAAGCCAGCUCUCCAUGGGAAGCUGGCCAGUCUUCAUUGGAGUACAUUUUUAUUGCAUGAAGCCAAUGAGACUUGAUAUUGUUUAACUCUGUGGUUUCCAAAGUGCGGUCCUUUUGAAGUAUCCAUAAAGUCUACACUAGGUUCACGGUAAUAUUAAGAUGUUAUUUGUCAGCUGGGCACGGUGGCUCACGCCUAUAAUCUCAGCACUUUGGGAGGCCAAGGCAAAUGGAUAAUGAGGUCAGGAGUUUCAGACCAGCCUGGCCAACAUGGUGAAACCCAGUCUCUACUAAAAAUACAAAAAUUACCUGGGUGUGGUGAUGCAUGCCUGUAAUCCCAGCUACUCAGGAGGAGGCUGAGGCAGGAGAAUUGCUUGAAUCCGGGAGGCAGAGAUUGCAGUGAGCUGAAAUCUCACCACUGCACUCCAGCCUGGGUGAUGGAGCAAGACACUGUCUCAAAAAAAAAAAAAAAGAUAUUAUUUGUCUUUCAUGAGUGUACAGUGGGAUUUUCCAGAGGCUACAUGACAUGUGUUUUUUUAUUUUGUUUUUUAUACUGACAGAGGGGUCUUGCUAUGUUGCCCAGACUGGUCUUCCAACUCCUGGCCUCAAGUGAUCCUCCCGCCUUCACCUCCCAAAGUGCUGGGAUUAUAGGUGUGAGCCACUGCGCCUGGCUGUUUGUGACAUGUGAUGUUGAAACAGGUUGAGUAUAGAAGCAGAUAUGGGAAUUAAACCAGAAUAUUAAACCAGACAUUGAAGAGAUUUGCAAAAAAUACAAAACAAUACCACUGUUUUCACUUUCUUUUUGGUUUGGAAAAAUGUAGUUAUUUUUCAUUAAAAGUAUGUUGUGUUGGCUGGGCACAGUGGCUCAUGCCUGUAAUCUCAACGCUGGGAGACUGAGGUGGGAGGAUCACUUGAGAUCAGGAGUUCGAGACCAGCCUGACCAACAUAAUGAAACCCCAUCUCUACUAACAAUAUAAAAAUUAGCUGGGCUGGCUGAGCGCGGUGGCUCACGCCUGUAAUCCCAGC
rnacentral:lncRNA from 1 species